CGUGUCUCUAGUGUCAGCAGCCGCGGUAAUACGGAGGGUGCAAGCGUUAUCCGGAUUUACUGGGUUUAAAGGGUGCGUAGGUGGGUCUGUAAGUCAGUGGUGAAAUCUCCGGGCUUAACCCGGAAACUGCCAUUGAUACUAUAGGUCUUGAAUACUCUGGAGGUAAGCGGAAUAUGUCAUGUAGCGGUGAAAUGCUUAGAUAUGACAUAGAACACCAAUUGCGAAGGCAGCUUACUACGGGGUCAUUGACACUGAGGCACGAAAGCGUGGGGAUCAAACAGGAUUAGAUACCCUGGUAGUCCACGCCCUAAACGAUGGAUACUCGACAUCAGCGAUACACUGUUGGUGUCUGAGCGAAAGCAUUAAGUAUCCCACCUGGGAAGUACGAUCGCAAGAUUGAAACUCAAAGGAAUUGACGGG
rnacentral:rRNA from 1 species